UAAGCAGGUGAGCUCGCGCGCAGAGACCCGAGUCUGAUGCUGUGGUCAAAGUGAACAGGCACGAGCGUCCGCAUUCGAUAGUGCAGCUGUACACAUGCGCCAUGUUGUCUAAGAGGAGGUUCAUAGUUACGAGCUUGGAUACCAUGGAUGUCCUUACUUGUUCUCAGAAGACAGGUCAGUGUGUUUAGAGAGAACACGUUUGACCAGGUAGUAAGGCUUCUACUUCAUUGGCCUGGAACAGUACACCAAAGAGGCAGAGGACGCCAAGUUUGGACCAACUAUGCUGAUGCCCCACUGUAAGAACCUGGAGAUCUUUACUGGUUCUGAGGGAGGUGACGUGGCCACAAAAUGUGACUGAGACACCUUCUGGAACCCGGGUCACCUACCGUCACCCAGGACACCUUCCGGCACCCAGGACAACUUCCAGCGACUGGGACACCUUCCAGUGCUACUGUUGACUAGAGCCAGGGGUUCCCAAACUUUGUCACUUGGGGCCCCCUUCCAGCAUUGGGGAACAUCCCGUGGCGCGCGCACACGCCACGUCUGUUUCUAUCGGCACAAGCACUGUUCAUGACACAAACUGUUCACACUCUUCUUGUUGUUGGAGAUCAUUUAGCUGGUUUCAUGCUUAUUUUCUUGCAAUUCUAUACAUUUUGCCAUGUCUAAUGUGUAUACAUGUGAUAUUUGAAUGACUAUGAUAUUACAAUGAUAUCUAUGGGCUAAAAAAAACAAAAUUGUUUGGGAACCACUGGUCUAGAGAACAGCCAGAGGGUGGUCAAGACAUCUGCUGCAACUUCAUCUUUAGUGUGUCAGCUCUGUUGCACCUGGAAGCAACAGCCAACAGUCAUGUAUACUUAAACAUACUUGUAUGCUCAUUUAUGUAUUUAUUAAAGUGGCAAUACAUAGUUGAAACAAUAACAAAGCGUACUCUGCCCGUUUUGGUAAAAAGCUGAGGGAUGUGUCUGGAGAAAUGUAAUCACUCUCAAAUUCAUAGACCGAGCUAUGGUGUCACACCCUGAUCUGUCACCUGUCUUUGUGCUUGUCUCCACCCCUCUCCAGGUGUUGUCCAUCUUACUUAUUAUCCCCUUGGUAUUUAUACCUGUGUUCUCUGUUUGUCUGUUGCCAGUUCGUUUUGUUUGUGAAACCUGCCAGCGUACGUUCCCCUGCUCAUGUCUGUUUCUUGCUCCUGUUUUCUAGUCCUUCCCGGUUUUGACCAUUCUGCCUGCCUUGAGCCUGCCUGCUGUUCUAUACCAUGCCACACCUCACUGGAUUCUUGACACCUGCCUGCCCUGAACUUGAGGCUGCCUGCCGUUGUGGACACUUUGCACCCUCUCUGGAUGAGGGUGCAAAGUGCUCCUGUAUUAGAAAUAAACCUUUGUUUCUUUGACACUGUCUGCAUCUGGGUCAUACCUGAAACGUGGUAUAUGGAUGCAAGGACUGACCAUCGCUCCUCCUUAAACCCCAUUGGAGAAGACAACCCAAGGUUCCUCGCCUCAGACCUCCUCCAAUGGGUUUUGAGAAGGAUGUGUGAAUUUAAGUAUGCUCCCUCUAAUUCUCUCUCUCUUUUUUUCUCUUUCUUUUUUUCUUUCUCUCAGAGGACCUGAGCCCUUGGGCCAUGCCUCAGGACUACCUGGCCUGAUGACUCCUUGCUGUCCCCAGCCUACCUGGUCAUGCUGCUGCUCCAGUUUCAACCGUUCUGCCUGCGGCUAUGGAACCCUGGUUCUGUGUGGGGAACGCGGAUUCUGUGUGGGGAACGACCAAUAGGUGUUUGUCUUUAUUAGCAAUGGCAAUGCUAGCUAUUCUCUGUCAUCCUAUUAAAUGUUCCUGCAAGAAACCAUGUUGAUAUAGCAAUGCUUCAAGAAAACUAAAGGUGUAAUUAUAAUGAUAUAUAAUAAACUCAAUAUUACCAUCAUGAGUAAAGG